UACUAAGAACUUUCCAGAGAUGGAUUGGUGCCUUCGGGAACUUAGAUACAGGUGCUGCAUGGCUGUCGUCAGCUCGUGUCGUGAGAUGUUGGGUUAAGUCCGCAACGAGCGCAACCCUUUUCCUUAUUUGCCAGCGGGUAAUGCCGGGAACUUUAAGGAUACUGCCAGUGACAAACUGGAGGAAGGCGGGGACGACGUCAAGUCAUCAUGGCCCUUACGGCCAGGGCUACACACGUGCUACAAUGGUCGGUACAAAGGGUUGCUACCUCGCGAGAGGAUGCUAAAUCUCAAAAAGCCGAUCGUAGUCCGGAUCGCAGUCUGCAACUCGACUGCGUGAAGUCGGAAUCGCUAGUAAUCGCGGAUCAGAAUGCCGCGGUGAAUACGUUCCCGGGCCUUGUACACACCGCCCGUCACACCAUGGGAGUUUGUUGCACCAGAAGUAGGUAGUCUAACCGCAAGGAGGACGCUUACCACGGUGUGGCCGAUGACUGGGGUGAAGUCGUAACAAGGUAAGCGUAGAUGA
rnacentral:rRNA from 1 species